CAAAGGGUUUGGGGUUUGCACAAGAGCUGCACAAAGGUGAAGGUGUUUGCACAGGGAGGGUGCGGGCUGUGCAUGGGGCAGUGAAGGGGGAUGCACAGGGAGUGGUCUGGGUGCUGUUGGGGUACUCAGGGGUACAGGGAGGUUCCCAGAAGGGUGCAAUGCCCUCCAAGGCACGAUCCAGUGCAGGAUGCACACACCGGGACUGGUGUGUGGGACACAGCUGGUGGAAAUCUGGGGUUCUCCCUGGCACAAAGCAGCCAUCCCCUUCCCCCCCAGCACUUUCCAGGCUGCCCUAACAAAGCUGGGCAGCAAGAGCUGGACUUGAGCUGAAGCACAUGAGGGAGCAUCACCCCCUGACAGCAGCUGGAGAAUCCCUUGAUGGAGAAUCCCAGAUCCUGGUGCAUCCCAAGGGCAGCACUCUGGGAAGCAGAGCACCCAGACACGAGCCUUUGCACGGGGGCUGCAAGGGGAUGGGAUCUGUGUGUGCAGCCAUUCAUGGAAUCAUGGAAUUGUUUGGGCUGAAAGGGACCUUAAAGCUCAUCCAGUUCCACACCCCUGCCAUGGGCAAGGACACCUUCCAUUAGCCCAGGUUUUUAAAAAAUCAUGCUCAGACUUCUGCAUGCUGGACUGAGAAUUACUUUAGAUUCCCUGAAGCCUGACUCAUGGAGUGCUGCAGGUUCAGCAUGAAUCCUGGAGGAUUUUGCGUUUGGGAUGAUAAAUCCUGAUGGAGCUGCCUCUUGAAGCUGCCCCUUGGCUCUUCCACAUCUUAAUAAUAGUGCUGAUAAUAGGUGAGAAAUGGAUGUGAAAUAAAGAUUAUCAAAAAG